rnacentral:rRNA from 1 species
CCUACGGGUGGCUGCAGUGGGGAAUAUUGGACAAUGGGGGGAACCCUGAUCCAGCCAUGCCGCGUGUGUGAAGAAGGCCCUCGGGUUGUAAAGCACUUUCAGUGAGGAAGAACGCCUGGUGGUUAAUACCCAUCAGGAAAGACAUCACUCACAGAAGAAGCACCGGCUAACUCCGUGCCAGCAGCCGCGGUAAUACGGAGGGUGCGAGCGUUAAUCGGAAUUACUGGGCGUAAAGCGCGCGUAGGUGGCUUGAUAAGCCGGUUGUGAAAGCCCCGGGCUCAACCUGGGAACGGCAUCCGGAACUGUCAAGCUAGAGUGCAGGAGAGGAAGGUAGAAUUCACGGUGUAGCGGUGAAAUGCGUAGAGAUCGGGAGGAAUACCAGUGGCGAAGGCGGCCUUCUGGACUGACACUGACACUGAGGUGCGAAAGCGUGGGUAGCAAACAGGAUUAGAUACCCCAGUAGUC